GUUAGGGCAAAAUUAGCAAGGCCAUUACUCCUAGAUGCCAAACUCUCGGCACAGAGAGCAUUACAGGAAACAUGCCAGAAAUGCCACGAAGAGGAGGCAGUUAUUCGGUGCCUUGAGUGUGUCCCACUGGACUUUGAGUACCUCUGUGGCAAGUGUGACAUAGAGGUCCACAGGAGGCAUGUCUUCCAUGGCAGGGUGGCAAUAUUCCAUGGCUAUCUGGAGCCUAUUCCCCCUACAAAGGCAGUGGUGGUGGAUGGGAAUGGCCAGCCUCAUUUUUCCGAGCAGGUAUGUCAGUUGCCAAUGCCUGCCCAAAGGGUAAUAUGUGGUUGCACUGAAGAGGCUGAGGUUACCACUGGGAGGCAUAUUGCAGUGGUCACUAUAAAUGGACGAUACGAGAUGUGUUUACCCCGAAAGGUCUGCUCUUGCUGCACAACAGAAUGGACUCCAGGGGUAAAGGACCUUCUACAGUAUAAUUACUGGCCAAGCACUA